rnacentral:misc_RNA from 1 species
GAUGAAGAACGUAGCGAAAUGCGAUACGUAAUGUGAAUUGCAGAAUUCAGUGAAUCAUCGAAUCUUUGAACGCAUAUUGCGCUCUCUGGUAUUCCGGAGAGCAUGCUUGUUUGAGUAUCAGUAAACACCUCAACUCCCUUUUCUUUUUUGAAAUUGGAGCUGGACUUGAGUGAUCCCAACGCUUUCUUCCAAGAAAGUGGCGGGUUGCUUGAAAUGCAGGUGCAGCUGAACUUUUCUCUGAGCUAUAAGCAUAUCUAUUUAGUCUGCCUAAAAAACAGAUUAUUACCUUUGCUGCAGCUAACAUAAAGGUGACUAGUUCUUGUGCUGACUGAUGCAGGAUUCACAGAGACAGCUUCGGCUGACUUUGUAAACUCGAUCUCAAAUCAAGUAAGACUACCCGCUGAACUUAAGCAUAUCAAUAAGCGGAGGA